rnacentral:rRNA from 1 species
AUGGGAACGCGAAGAACCUUACCUAGACUUGACAUCUUCUGCAUUAAUCGUAAUGGAUGAAAAUCCCUUCGGGGACAGAAUGACAGGUGGUGCAUGGUUGUCGUCAGCUCGUGUCGUGAGAUGUUGGGUUAAGUCCCGCAACGAGCGCAACCCCUAUUAUUAGUUGCUAACAUUAAGUUGAGCACUCUAGUGAGACUGCCCGGGUUAACCGGGAGGAAGGUGGGGAUGACGUCAAAUCAUCAUGCCCCUUAUGUCUAGGGCUACACACGUGCUACAAUGGUGGGAACAAAGAGAUGCAAUACCGCAAGGUGGAGCUAAACUCAAAACCCCAUCCCAGUUCGGAUUGUAGGCUGAAACUCGCCUACAUGAAGCUGGAGUUGCUAGUAAUCGCGAAUCAGAAUGUCGCGGUGAAUACGUUCCCGGGUCUUGUACACACCG